CCUACGGGUGGCAGCAGUGAGGAAUAUUGGUCAAUGGACGGAAGUCUGAACCAGCCAAGUCGCGUGAAGGAAGACGGCUCUAUGAGUUGUAAACUUCUUUUCUAUUAGAAUAAAACAGGAUAUGCAUACUCACCUGAAAGUACAAUAAGAAUCAGGAUCGGCUAACUCCGUGCAAGCAGCCGCGGUAAUACGGAGGAUCCGAGCGUUAUCCGGAUUUAUUGGGUUUAAAGGGUGCGUAGGGGGAUUGAUAAGUUAGUGGUGAAAUUUUCGGGCUUAACACGAGAACUGCCUCUAAUACUGUCAGUCUUGAGGACAGAAGCGGUGGGCGGAAUGUGUGGUGUAGCGGUGAAAUGCUUAGAGAUCAUACAGAACUCCGAUUGCGAAGGCAGCUCACCAGUCUGUACCUGACAUUGAGGCACGAAAGCGUGGGGAGCAAACAGGAUUAGAUACCCGGGUAGUC
rnacentral:rRNA from 1 species